GCAUGAACGCUGGCGGCAUGCCAGACACAUGCAAGUCGAACGGCAGCUCCCCUUCGCAUGCCGGCGAGUGGCGAACGGGUGAGUAAUCGGAACGUACCGACUAGUGGGGGAUAACCCGUCGAAAGACGGGCUAAUACCGCAUAAGCUCUAGCAGGAAAGCAGGAGGACCCUUUGGGCCUUGCGCUAGUUGAGCGGCCGAUGUCCGAUUAGCUUGUUGGUGGGGUAAAGGCCCACCAAGGCGACGAUCGGUAGCGGGUCUGAGAGGACGAUCCGCCACACUGGGACUGAGACACGGCCCAGACUCCUACGGCGAGGCAGCAGUGGCGGAAUCUUGGACAAUGGCAAGCCUGAUCCAGCAAUGCUAUGUGGGUGAAGAAGGCCUGCCAUUGUAAAGCCCUGUCGGCAGGGAAGAAUAUCGGUGGGGUGAAAUAACUGGAUGACGGUACCUGCAGAAGAAGCACCGGCUAACUACGUGCCAGCAGCCGACUUAAUACGUAGGGUGCGAGCGUUAAUCGGAUUUACUGGGCGUAAAGCGUGCGCGCACGGCUCGUUAAGACAGGUGUGAAAUCCCUGCGCUCAACCUAGGAAUUGCGCUUGUGACUGAUUAGCUCGAGUACGGUAGAGGCGGUGGAAUUCCUGGUGUAGCAGUGAAAUGCGUAGAGAUCAGGAGGAACACCGAUGGCGAAGGCAGCAGCCUGGGCCUGUACUGACGCUUAGGCACGAAAGCGUGCGAGCAAACAGGAUUAGAUACCCUGGUAGUCCACGCCCUAAACGAUGGGUACUAGCCGUAUGGUGCACGAUAGCGCUAAGUGCUAAAGCUAACGCGUGAAGUACCCCGCCUGGGGAGUACGGCCGCAAGGUUGAAACUCAAUAAUUGACGGGGACCCGCACAAGCGGUGGAUGAUGUGGAUGCGCUCGAUGCAACGCGAAGAACCUUACCUACCCUUGACAUGUGCAGAGCCCUGGAGAGAUCUGGUAGUGCCCGAAAGCGGAGCCUCAAGCACAGGUUGCUGCAUGGCUGAUCGUCAGCUCGUGUCGUGAGAUGGUUGGGUUAGCAACGAGCGCAACCGCUUGCCAUUAGUUGCCAGCAGCUCGGCUGCUCACUCUAAUCUACUGCCGGUGACAAUCCGGAAUUCGUGGCGGAACGACGUCAAGUCAUCAUGGCCCUGUAUGGGUAGGCGCUUCACACGUCAUACAAUGGCGCGUACAGAGGGUUGCCAAACCGCGAGGUGGAGCCAAUCCCAGAAGAGCGCGUCGUAGUCCGGAUUGUGCAACUCGACUGCAUGAAGUCGGAAUCGCUAGUAAUCGCGGAUCAGCAUGCGUCGCGGUGAAUACGUUCCCGGGUCUUGUACACACCGCCACACCAUGGGAGUGCAGUGCACCAGAAGUCGGUAGCCUAACCGCAAGGAGCUAGCCGCCCACGGUCGUGCUCCAUGACUGCAUUGCA
rnacentral:rRNA from 1 species